rnacentral:rRNA from 1 species
CCUGAUGCAGCGACGCCGCGUGAGGGAUGACGGCCUUCGGGUUGUAAACCUCUUUCAGCAGGGAAGAAGCGAAAGUGACGGUACCUGCAGAAGAAGCGCCGGCUAACUACGUGCCAGCAGCCGCGGUAAUACGUAGGGCGCGAGCGUUGUUCCGGAAUUAUUGGGCGUAAAGAGCUCGUAGGCGGUCUGUCGCGUCGGAUGUGAAAGCCCGGGGCUUAACCCCGGGUCUGCAUUCGAUACGGGCAGACUAGAGUGUGGUAGGGGAGAUCGGAAUUCCUGGUGUAGCGGUGAAAUGCGCAGAUAUCAGGAGGAACACCGGUGGCGAAGGCGGAUCUCUGGGCCAUUACUGACGCUGAGGAGCGAAAGCGUGGGGAGCGAACAGGAUUAGAUACCCUGGUAGUCCACGCCGUAAACGGUGGGAACUAGGUGUUGGCGACAUUCCACGUCGUCGGUGCCGCAGCUAACGCAUUAAGUUCCCCGCCUGGGGAGUACGGCCGCAAGGCUA